ACGUCGCCCAGGCGGCGUCCGCGGUCCCUGACCGGGGCCGAAGCAGCGGGGGUGGUGCCGUGUCGGCGCAGCACCACCCCCGCGAC
rnacentral:ncRNA from 1 species